GAGUUUGAUCAUGGCUCAGAUUGAACGCUGGCGGCAGGCUUAACACAUGCAAGUCGAGCGGGGAAGGGUAGCUUGCUACCUGACCUAGCGGCGGACGGGUGAGUAAUGCUUAGGAAUCUGCCUAUUAGUGGGGGACAACAUUCCGAAAGGAAUGCUAAUACCGCAUACGCCCUACGGGGGAAAGCAGGGGAUCUUCGGACCUUGCGCUAAUAGAUGAGCCUAAGUCAGAUUAGCUAGUUGGUGGGGUAAAGGCCUACCAAGGCGACGAUCUGUAGCGGGUCUGAGAGGAUGAUCCGCCACACUGGGACUGAGACACGGCCCAGACUCCUACGGGAGGCAGCAGUGGGGAAUAUUGGACAAUGGGCGAAAGCCUGAUCCAGCCAUGCCGCGUGUGUGAAGAAGGCCUUUUGGUUGUAAAGCACUUUAAGCGAGGAGGAGGCUACUUAGAUUAAUACUCUAGGAUAGUGGACGUUACUCGCAGAAUAAGCACCGGCUAACUCUGUGCCAGCAGCCGCGGUAAUACAGAGG
rnacentral:rRNA from 1 species